GGCCAUCCUUCCUCCCGCCUGGAUCCGGUCACCCGGCCAUAAAGUCGCCCCAUAUGGCCAGGGGCGGCCCCACACCCGGGUGCGAACUGCCGCCGGGGGCCCCGAGCCUCGCGUGCAGGCACUUUGUCUUGAAGUCUCCAAGUCUCACGCAUCAUUCUGCAGAGUGGCAUGCUCUUGGUUUGAGGAAUAAACUGGGCCUCCAGUCCAUAUCUCAGUAUGAACGGUCCCAGCCUAGACCAGUGCCCAGCGGGCACAAUGAACACGCAGAUAGUGGGGAACUGAAUAUGACUGACUCAGAUUGAAAGGAGCUUCUCUUCCACCUGCAGACAAAGUCCCAGUUGAAUAAACGGAUCCAGCCAGCACACUCAGGUGGCUC
rnacentral:lncRNA from 1 species